GGAAUUUUGGACAAUGGGCGCAAGCCUGAUCCAGCAAUGCCGCGUGAGUGAAGAAGGCCUUCGGGUUGUAAAGCUCUUUUGUCAGGGAAGAAACGGUGAGGGCUAAUAUCCCUUGCUAAUGACGGUACCUGAAGAAUAAGCACCGGCUAACUACGUGCCAGCAGCCGCGGUAAUACGUAGGGUGCAAGCGUUAAUCGGAAUUACUGGGCGUAAAGCGUGCGCAGGCGGUUUUGUAAGUCUGAUGUGAAAUCCCCGGGCUCAACCUGGGAAUUGCAUUGGAGACUGCAAGGCUAGAAUCUGGCAGAGGGGGGUAGAAUUCCACGUGUAGCAGUGAAAUGCGUAGAUAUGUGGAGGAACACCGAUGGCGAAGGCAGCCCCCUGGGUCAAGAUUGACGCUCAUGCACGAAAGCGUGGGGAGCAAACAGGAUUAGAUACCCCAG
rnacentral:rRNA from 1 species